rnacentral:rRNA from 1 species
UUAUGGCUCAGGAUGAACGCUAGCUACAGGCUAACACAUGCAAGUCGAGGGGCAGCAUGGAGUUGCUGCAAACUCUGAUGGCGACCGGCACACGGGUGAGUAACGCGUAUCCAACCUUCCCUAUAGUAGAGGAUAGCCCGGCGAAAGUCGGAUUAAUACUCUAUGUUUUCCGUUGCAGACAUCUAAGAUGGAACAAAGGCUUGCCGCUAUAGGAUGGGGAUGCGUCUGAUUAGGUAGUCGGCGGGGUAACGGCCCACCGAGCCAUCGAUCAGUAGGGGUUCUGAGAGGAAGGUCCCCCACAUUGGAACUGAGACACGGUCCAAACUCCUACGGGAGGCAGCAGUGAGGAAUAUUGGUCAAUGGGCGAGAGCCUGAACCAGCCAAGUAGCGUGCAGGAUGACGGCCCUAUGGGUUGUAAACUGCUUUUAUACAGGGAUAAAGUGACGUACGUGUACGUUUUUGUAGGUACUGUAUGAAUAAGGACCGGCUAAUUCCGUGCCAGCCGCCGC